AGCUGGGUUGAACAACCGCUCAUGUAAGGGCUGCCUCGUCUAUUCUUUAGUAUGCAGCAUCGCUCGAAAGGGAAUCGGGUUAAAAUUCCCGAACCUGGCUACGGUGAACCGGGGCCGGCAGGGGCUCGCGCCUUUGCCCGGUUUCCCACUUGAUGAAGCGGCAACGCUUGCGAGCCGAGA
rnacentral:rRNA from 1 species